rnacentral:rRNA from 1 species
AAACCAACAGGGAUUGCCUCAGUAGCGGCGAGUGAAGCGGCAAGAGCUCAGAUUUGAAAUCGUGCUUUGCGGCACGAGUUGUAGAUUGCAGGUUGGAGUCUGUGUGGAAGGCGGUGUCCAAGUCCCUUGGAACAGGGCGCCCAGGAGGGUGAGAGCCCCGUGGGAUGCCGGCGGAAGCAGUGAGGCCCUUCUGACGAGUCGAGUUGUUUGGGAAUGCAGCUCCAAGCGGGUGGUAAAUUCCAUCUAAGGCUAAAUACUGGCGAGAGACCGAUAGCGAACAAGUACUGUGAAGGAAAGAUGAAAAGCACUUUGAAAAGAGAGUGAAACAGCACGUGAAAUUGUUGAAAGGGAAGGGUAUUGCGCCCGACAUGGGGAUUGCGCACCGCUGCCUCUCGUGGGCGGCGCUCUGGGCUUUCCCUGGGCCAGCAUCGGUUCUUGCUGCAGGAGAAGGGGUUCUGGAACGUGGCUCUUCGGAGUGUUAUAGCCAGGGG